rnacentral:rRNA from 1 species
GACGAAUGCUGGCGGCGUGCUUAACACAUGCAAGUCGAACGGAAAGGCCCUGCUUUUGUGGGGUGCUCGAGUGGCGAACGGGUGAGUAACACGUGAGUAACCUGCCCUUGACUUUGGGAUAACUUCAGGAAACUGGGGCUAAUACCGGAUAGGAGCUCCUGCUGCAUGGUGGGGGUUGGAAAGUUUCGGCGGUUGGGGAUGGACUCGCGGCUUAUCAGCUUGUUGGUGGGGUAGUGGCUUACCAAGGCUUUGACGGGUAGCCGGCCUGAGAGGGUGACCGGCCACAUUGGGACUGAGAUACGGCCCAGACUCCUACGGGAGGCAGCAGUGGGGAAUAUUGCACAAUGGGCGGAAGCCUGAUGCAGCAACGCCGCGUGCGGGAUGACGGCCCUCGGGUUGUAAACCGCUUUCGCCUGUGACGAAGCGUGAGUGACGGUAAUGGGUAAAGAAGCACCGGCUAACUACGUG